rnacentral:sRNA from 1 species
CUUCCUCGAUCUGCUGCGGGCAAAUGAAGUGGAUAUGCGGGUCGAUGCCGCCAGCGGUCAGGAUGCGCCCCUCGCAGGCGAUGAUUUCUGUUCCUGGGCCGAUGACGAUGUCCACGCCCGGCUGCGUGUCCGGGUUGCCGGCCUUGCCAAUGGCGGCGAUGCGGCCGUCCUUCAGCCCGACAUCGGCCUUGAUGAUCCCCCAAUGGUCGAUGAUCAGCGCAUUGGUGAUGACGGUAUCCAUCGCGCCCUGCUCGCGGGUGCGCUGGCUCUGCCCCAUGCCGUCGCGGAUG